UGAAAAGUACCUCCACAAAUCUAAUCAUUAGAUAAAAUGGGGCAAUUUUUAUUAAUUUAUAAACGAAAGAUGCAUAAAAAGAAGCAUAUGUUUGGGCAGCACUAGGCUUCUCAUAUGGGGAACCCAAAGGAGCCAUAAAAUAAAUUCAAAAUGACCAAUGAAAACAAAGAAAAGAAGACAAGAUCAAUGAGCUCAGUCAUUUUCAGAGCCUUAUGUUUUCUUGAAGUCGAGUUCCAGACAGAAUUAAUUGAAAAAAAAAAGGGGGAAAGGGUGAAGUGAUCUAAGGGCAUUUGGGUCCUCCAUGCUUAGUCUUCCAGUUGUUGUAGCAGGGG
rnacentral:misc_RNA from 1 species